GAUGAACGCUGGCGGCGUGCCUAAUACAUGCAAGUCGAGCGAACGGACGAGAAGCUUGCUUCUCUGAUGUUAGCGGCGGACGGGUGAGUAACACGUGGAUAACCUACCUAUAAGACUGGGAUAACUUCGGGAAACCGGAGCUAAUACCGGAUAAUAUUUUGAACCGCAUGGUUCAAAAGUGAAAGACGGUCUUGCUGUCACUUAUAGAUGGAUCCGCGCUGCAUUAGCUAGUUGGUAAGGUAACGGCUUACCAAGGCAACGAUGCAUAGCCGACCUGAGAGGGGGAUCGGCCACACUGGAACUGAGACACGGUCCAGACUCAUACGGGAGGCAGCAGUAGGGAAUCUUCCGCAAUGGGCGAAAGCCUGACGGAGCAACGCCGCGUGAGUGAUGAAGGUCUUCGGAUCGUAAAACUCUGUUAUUAGGGAAGAACAGAUGUGUAAGUAACUGUGCACAUCUGGACGGUACCUAAUCAGAAAGCCACGGCUAACUACGU
rnacentral:rRNA from 1 species